AGCGCGCGUUCUCCCGGCCCCGCCCCUCGGAGCCGGAGUUCCGCGCGGAGUGGGCGUGGCGGGGCGCGCGCGCGCGCACUGCGGCCCCGCCCACUCCUCCCGCCCCUCCGGAGGGUGCAAUUCGUCUCCUCGCGGCGCGGCCCGGCCGGAGGCUGCGAGCCUCGGCCGGAGGUGGCCGGGUGUCGUCCGAGGGCUCGGAGGAGAAUCAAGGCCAAGAGUAUGAACUGGGGAGGCAGACAGACCCGUCUUUGAUUCUGAUGUGGCUGCUGGCUGACCUUGACAAGUUACUACCUCCUCACCAUUACACAGUGUUCAUCUGUGCAGAGUGAACGCUCUGUUCCUUGAAUCUGGAAAUCCUGUGAGCACUCUGUGUGCAAGCCCAGACCAUCCUGCAGGACAACAAGACCAAGGGAGCAGGGCAGCCAGCCCAGCCCAGCCGAACUGUGUAGCUGAGCCCAGCCCAAAUCACUGAACUGUGGCAUCAGGAGAGGGAGGCUCUUAUGCUCAGCAGACACAGCACAGGGGGACACUGUGAAUCUGAUCCCGAGCACUUCUGAGGAGCUGAGCAGGUGCACACCCCCAGAACACUGGCUUCUGUGACUUGUGGGACAUCUGGAGUCCAGGAAGAAAACUGCUGUUCUUUCACAAGCUCAGAGGUUCAAAUCCACUCUAUGAGAUGCAACAAAAAGUGUCUCAGGCUACAGAUAAUCGAAAUGAAUUGAUCAAAGUAAUCUACAUGAUAGUUUAUAAAGGACAACCUCGUGGAAGAAAUAAAAGGAACCCUGGGUGCAUAAUUUCCUGUGUCUAAACAGCCGUGUGAUCAGCAGGGUUCUGGUUUAACUCCUGCAUUCCACCUAGUGACUGCUGGGUUGCACAUGGCCUGAUCCUGGAUGCAGUGACUCUCAGAGGAUGGAGAGGAGAAAGAGAGAUACCUCCUGACUGCUGAUUCACUCCUCAGAUGCCAACAACAGCCAGGGCUGAGUCAGACCGAAGCCAGGAACCACAGACUCCAUCUGUGUCUCCCACAUGAGUGGCCGGGUCCAGGUAUGGAGCCGUCACCUGCUGCCUCCCAGGGUGUGCGUCAUCAUUAAGCUAGACUGGCAGCUGAAGAGCUGAGACUUGAAGUGACACUCUGAUAUAGGAUGUGAGGAUCCCAAGUGGUAGCUCAACUCACUGCUACAACAUCUACCCCAAAAUAGGAGAUUUUUGAAUUAUGCCUCUUCUGUGUAUGAGGACAUGAUUGCUCAAGCAUUUCAAAGAACAGUGGAUAAGAGGAAGUUUAGAGUAAGUUCUUGAGCAUCUGGGAAAUUUCCAGAAUAUAUAUUAGGAGUAUAUUUAGCUGCAAAUAACAGAAAGGCAGACUGCAAGGGAUUGAACAAGUGGUUUUAUUUUCUGUCACAUGAAGGCCAAAGACUGAAGUCCAGCUCAGGAAGCCAGAGAUCAUCUCCGUUUCUGUGUUGCUAUUUCUGGAAUCUUUGUUUCCUUAUAAUGUUUGUCAUUUCAUGACUGCAGUAUGGCCCUUGAGCCUCCAGGCAUAGCUUCUGUGUCCCAGGCAGAAAGAAGAGAGAAGAGUGAAAGAAUGGGCCAUGGGCUCUUUCAGCUGAGCCUGUUUCUUUAUUAGAAAAGCAAAACGUUUUCUUAGAAAUUUUCCCAGAUGUUCGCUUACAUCUCAUCGGCCAGAAUUGGGUCUCAGGGUCAAUGUUAGGCAGUUGUGGCUCAAGGGUAUAAAUUACCGUGGCAAGGCUGACCAAUCAUGAUUUACCUCCUGGAGCUGAUGAAGAUGUCCCUGCUACUACCUGGUAAAUCUGCCAGUAGGAAAGCAGGCAGAGGAGCAGAUACUGGGGCAGUGAUGGAUGCGAUCCACCCUGAUGACCAUAACCGGUAUCCCUUGGGCCCGUUCACAUCCUCUCAGUCCUCACCUUCUUUCCAGGCUCGGCUGUGGGACGCCAAUUCUCAUGGGCUUUGCAACCUGACCACGCCCAGCCUUGGGUGCGUAGAGUCCACCCUUGUUUCCUGCUCUUGCAGUAUGGCAGUGGCAGUGGCUCAGCCCCUGUGCUGGAGUGGUGGGAAUUAUGGGAGGGUGAAUUAGUGCCUCAUGGGAAACUCUCUACCAGUGAGGGAUAGAACACAGGGUAAAAUCUUUUGUUCCUUAAGCAGAUAGUUCUCAAAUGCUUUCUGUGAGACUUCUAGAAAGGACUGUGAAUGGAGCAAUGGGCUGCCUCUAGCAGUGACGACCAGAUGACACACCUCUGCACUGAUUCUCUUCCUUUCACUGUUUAUUCCUCUGGCUCUCCUUUCUACUCCCUGGGGAAUCUCAUUCAUAACGAAAUCACUUUUGAAUCAGAUUCCAUUUCAGGCUCUGAUUCCAGGGAACUCCAGGUUGUGGCACUGACAAGUAGAUGACUGGGAGGCGACAUGGAUGCCUGGUGACAGACGUCAGGAAGAGAAGGGCCCAGAUCGCGGCUCUGGCACUGGAGUGCCUGCUCCUAGCACCUCUCUUCCCACUAGUUGUUCUCUUUACUCUGUUUUGGAGAUCACCAACUGAAAGGCGUGUAAAUAGGUUAUAUAGGCAUAAAGGAGUGUUGGGGACUGUGGCGGCCUGGAGUACACCUUCCCCCUCUAAAGGGGGAAGCCACUGGAAAUUUGUAUCUUUUUCAUUUUGUUAUG